rnacentral:lncRNA from 1 species
UCCGCCCUGACCCUCUUCGCCGAUCCGGAGGUCGUAGCGCCCUUUCUCUUGUGGGCCCUCAUGCCCCUGGUGAGCAUCCGCACUGCUUCGGCGUCCAUUCCUAAAAAGAAAGAAAAGAAAGAAGAGAGAAAGAAAGAAAUAGAGGGAAAAGAGAGAGAGAAGGAAGAGGAGGUAAAAAGAAGAAGAGAAGGAAGGCAUGAAAAGAGAAGAUAAGGUAAAAGAUGAAUACUCGCUGGAUCCUGGGGACUCAGGCCGAUGUUGAAAAGAAACUGCUCCCUCAGAAGAUUGGGAAGGGAAGGAGAGGAAUAAGCUAGAAGCUUCUGGGCGGCCUAGAGGUCAUCCUCCCCCAGGCUGGGAGUCCGGCGGACAGAAUCCCUCAGAGAGCCCCAAGGGGGCAGGCCCAGUUUCAGGGUCGGGUAGUGGACAAAGAGGUAUUUUCCCUUCCAAUUGUGGAUCGAAGAAGGGGCGCCUUUCAGCAACCCCUUCUUGCCGAACUGGGGGGAGAAGUACCACCAGUC